rnacentral:rRNA from 1 species
UACAGAGGUGGCAAGCGUUGUUCGGAAUUACUGGGCGUAAAGGGCUCGUAGGCGGCCAACUAAGUCAGACGUGAAAUCCCCAGGCUCAACCUGGGAACUGCGUCUGAUACUGGAUGGCUUGAAUCCGGGAGAGGGAUGCAGAAUUCCAGGUGUAGCGGUGAAAUGCGUAGAUAUCUGGAGGAACACCGGUGGCGAAGGCGGCAUCCUGGACCGGCAUUGACGCUGAGGCGCAAAAGCCAGGGGAGCAAACGGG